UUAAAUGGCUGCAGUAAUUUGACUGUACAAAGGUAGCAUAAUCAAUAGUUUUUUAAUUGAAAGCUAGAAUGAAUGGUUGGACGAAAUAAAAUCUGUCUUUAUUUAAUUUAAAAUAAAAUUUAAUUUUUAAGUUAAAAAGCUUAAAUUUUUAUAAAAGACGAGAAGACCCUAUAGAGUUUUAUAUUUUUAAUGUAUAUUUAAUUUUGAUUUAUUUAUUAUAUAUAAAAUAAAAUAUUUUAUUGGGGUAAUAUAAAGAUUAAUAUAAUUCUUUUUGUUUUUGUAUAUUUAUUUAUAUUAUAAUUGAUCCAUUUUUAAUGAUUAUAAGAUUAAAUUACCUUAGGGAUAACAGCGUAAUUUUUUUAGAGAGUUCAUAUUGAUAAAAAAGUUUGCGACCUCGAUGUUGGAUUAAAGAUUAAUUUAGGUGCAAAAGUUUAAAUGUUUGGUCUGUUCGACCAUUAAAUCUUUACAUGAUCUGAGUUCAGACCGGCGUGAGCCAGGUCGGUUUCUAUCUUUAUUUAAUUAAAAUAUUUUAGUACGAAAGGACCAAAUAUUAAUUAUAAUAAUUUGUAUUUUGAAUUUUAUU
rnacentral:rRNA from 1 species